CCUCCGUGCUUCCAUAGGAAAUUCCAUAAAUGGAUAACUUACCUACCUUUUCAAUCUACACUCUUGGAUGAUUAUGGAUAAUAUUUUGAACAUAAGUUGUUAUUGUUUUAUUCCUUUAAUAUUAGUCAGAAAGGCUGAGAGCAAAGAUUUGGGGUGAUACACAAGAAGAAAGGGGGAGUAAGAGAUAAUCAAAGUGGCUCAGCCACUUCCUACCUAUAUGACUUUGGACAAAGUGUAUCUUUCUCUUCUGUUUCUAUUCCCAUUUCUAAAUAACCAAUGAAUUAAUACAUGCUCAUGGAGUUCAAAUAUUAACUUAGAAUGUGUCUAUAGCAUCCAGCAUACACUGGGCAACUGUAAUAUAUUUGUUCACUUUGCUUAUCCACUUGUUAAACUUCUAUUUCUUACAAACCUCAUGUAUUUGCUUGUGAUGCAAAUACUUAAGUAUCUCCUAUAUAGUAGGAAGUGUGUUAGAUACUGUUUAAGUUUCAGUGAUGAACUAGAAAAUAGUCUCUCAGUGGACUUCAGAAUUAAGUUGGAGGUGAUAAACAUGUAAAUAACAUAAUGUAAGACAUAAAAAAAAUGAUAAACAAAAGUGUCAUAUCACUGCUGUGAAAAGUUAGAAAAAAAAAAGAUCCCAUUAAUUAUGCCUAAGGUAAUUAGCGAUUUUUAAUGGAAGAUGUCACUUUUAAAUUCGACUUUAGGUAGAAUGAGCAUAAUUUUGAUAGAAUGAAUGAAAAGGAACAUUUCAGGUGGGAAAACUAAUUGAUCAUACUGGUGCAACUGAUUAUUUGGGGGCAAAUAGAUCUCUACCUAAUAGCAUUCAACAAAAUAGCUGCAUAAUUUAGAAUAUCAGGUACAUACAUGAAACAUAGAUUAAUUUCCUUUUAAAUUAUAAAUUUCAAGGAUAUUAACUACAAAACUAAAGGACAAACUAACAGUAAGUACCAUGUAUAUCCAAACUGUUUUUACCUUUAGUAUAUAAAAGGCUUUUAUAGAUCAGUGGAAAAAUAUAGUCAUCCCAAUAGAAAUCUGGAAAAGGAAAUUGAAUAGACAUAAAAUGAAUAUAUUGAAGUUAAUAAUAAAAGUGUAAAAAUAUACAGUGUCACCAACAAUGAGAUGAGUUUGAAGAAAAAGAAAUGUAAUAUAGCAACAUAGCAAUGUUUUCCCCCUUAAAUUAGAGACUAUUUUAAGUGAUGACAUCCAGGGUUGUUUUUAACUUAGAAAAUAAGCAUGUCCACCUGCUAUAGGAAGAAUAUAAUUGAUUAUAGCUGGUUGGAGGCCCUUUGCCAAUAUUUAUUUGAAAUUUUUCUUUUACUCACACAUUUUAGCUAGUAAUUCAUAAUUAAAUAAUUCAUAACAUGCAGGAAUCAACAAGAGCACUGCUGUGAUCAUUAUAGUAUGGAACAUUUGCAAAUUCAUUAAUCCAUGUAUCAGAGACUCAUAUAAAUAUCCUUUGAAACUUUUUAGUAUGCAGUACUAUACAGUUCUUAAAAAGUAUGUUACUAUCAAACUAUAUGAUGACAUAAAAUAGUCAAACGAUUUUAUUUGGCAAAAAUACUUUAUAAAACGAUAUUAUUACAUUAAAUACACACGUUGACAAAAAGUAAAAGUUAGAAUGGCUACAGUAACACAUGUUAUCUCUACCUGUUAAAGAUACUGUUUUUUGCUAUUAUAUAUAUUUGUCCAUAUUUUAAAAAUUUGAUGAGAAUUAUAAUUUACAUUGUAAUAAUACAAAACCUUAAAGUAUAUCCUUUGCAUUUAGAAACCUGUCUUAGCUACCAGCACAUAAUUGGCUGUAUAAGUAAUACUAUGUGUACCUGCUAUUCAGCAGAGGAAGCCCCUGUUUCAGUUGGCCUCCUUGGGAAGAGGGCUAAUAGGAUAUAACUGUUCAGGGGUAUAAUUCUUGGCUUCAGAAGUCACCUAGAAAAACUUGUUAAUUCUUAGCUGUGUACUUCUUUGUGAUUUACUCAGAAUAGACUUCACUGAGGAAAUAAUUGGUUAUUUAGCUAAUCAUUGUCAGGCACCUGGCUGCUUCUCCUUCUGUCUGGAGCCCAGAACAUGCUCGUAUCCAGAUACCCAUGUUUAUGGGGAGUGUGGGCUGCAAUUUUCUGGGCCAUGAUGUUUUGCUUUGAGUUCCCCACAUGGGACAAAGUUGGAUGAUCUUGUUAAUUCUGAGUGUUUUCAGUCACAUUCUGAAACUGGAUGAGGUGGGGAUGGGUUGGGAAUGGUUAUUAUGAAAACUGACCAGAAUCUCUUUUCUCUCCUACUGUAGAAUAGACACAUUUAUAAAGCUACUGGAAAGUAGAAAAUAAUUGCACGCUAUUACAAAGUCAUUGUAUUUGAUCUGAUAUCGGUUAUAGGAUCCCCUCCUUAUAUUAAUAAUAGUCAGAACACCAUUUGUGAGUGAUAAUAAUAUGUAAAAUGUCUAGAAGGUUCAGGAGCCUUAUUUUGGUUGUAGAAUGAAAUUCAUUGUAGCUUGUUUCCCAGUGAGUAAACUUUAUCCCCUCAAUAUACAAUAUCAAGGGGAAUAUUUCCCAAAGGUCAUUUGUGACUGUAAAUAACCCUCAAUAUUUAUCUAAACCUCUUCCCCAACAAGGGGAAGCCCGAGACACUAGGUUAAGAGCAGAACAACAGACUGCACAUCUCCAUGUACAGAGUGAUUCUAAGCUAAGCAGAUAACUCAAGGCAGAUUUUAGUUUGAGGUAGAAUUGAGGCAAAAAGAUAAAAGGACACAUCUAUGCACAUAUAAUAGCAAGAUGAUCAAAGCGAGAAAAGCAGAGUCUAAGAGAUGUUGGUACUACCACUUGUGUCUCCUAUAGAACGUACUUGGCUUCAGAUAAUACAUGGGGAUAUAUGGGAAGAACAGCAGAAUAUCCCAGAUAAUACAGUGUGGACCUAUGGGAGACAGGGAAUCAAUACGGAUUCAUUGAAAAGAUUCUAUUUUAAUACUUAAUUUAGGAAUUAUAAAUAUAAAGGAUAUAUACAUUUGCUUGGGGACUGUUUAUAUAUUUGGUGUUGAGCUAGGUAAAAUUUGGGUAAGUACUUCUACAAUGAUAACAUAGGGCUGGCCUAACAAGAAGGAAGGCUGGAAAUUACAGUACUGUUCUGCCACCCUUUCAAACAUCUGUUAAGAAACCCCCAUGCUCCGGACUUUAAGUAUUGCUUCCAGAGUGCUACCUAUUUGGGAAAACAGGUUCUAUAUAUGGAGAAACAAGAUGGGGAUGGCAAGGAGAUACAAAAAGCAGAUCUUGUUACAAGGAAGUAUAUAAUAAAUAGUGCCUAGAUAGUACACGAUGAUAUAUUAGGGCAUGUAGCUGUACUGGGGAUCUUUGAGUUUUAAUCACUAAAAAUGGAAUGUUUGGAACAAAGCACCAAGGAACACAGUGAUGAUAUUUUGUGGGUGACAAUACAUUUGAGGAGAUGAGCCAACAUUACUCUCUAAAACAAAAUGAAGAGGUGCUCUGUUAAACAGCACCAGCAAUGUAUAGUCUAAAUCAGAACUCACAAGUUGAGGGGAAAUGCCCUAGUCAGGCCCCCAUGAUGUAUAGCAUAGAUUAAUAGAGUGUGGUAUGUAUAGAUUAAUAAAAAAUAAACAGUAUUAAGACACUAUUGUAUAUGCUGGGAAGAGGCAAUGUAAAGAGAUAAAACUAGAGAAGGCAGAUUCCUUCCCAUCAUGUCUAAAAAAUAUUAAUUUUAUGUGCUAAAGGGAAAGAGCAGUCAAAGUGUGUAGGGUGAGUGGAGGUGGGUCCCCCACUUGAAUGUGGUAGCCUAUACUAAAGAGUUGGCAUUUGAGUAGAAGGCUGAAGAAGAUGCAGAAGUCAUAUAUCCAGAAACAUUUUCAACAUUUUCAUUAGAGGGAACAGGAAAAAGAAAUUCUUCAAACAGGAUUAGGCCUGUGGUUUUUGAUCAACGAGGAGGUUGAUGUGGUUAUGGCAGAAUGAGCAAGGAGAAGGGCUGCUGAAAUAAAGCCUGAGAGUAAAGGGGAUGGAACAGAUAAUCCAAGUCUCUCUUAGAAAUCUGGCUGUGACUCUGAACAAGCCAGGAAGUCACUAGAGUGUUCCUAGCAGAGACAUGACAUAACCUGACAGGAGAGCUCUGACUGCUGUACUUAAAACAGGUCAUUGGGAGCAAGGACAAAGCCAGAGGCAAGGAGAUCUAGCCAGAUUAUUACAAUUAUCCAAGUAAGAGAAAUGGUUGCUUGGAACAGGAUGUCUGUAGCAGAGGGGGAAAGAAGUGGUCAGAUUCAUAAUAGUACUAUACAGGACUGGAGAGGAUUGAUGAAGUAAUUGACUAUAGAGCGUAAUGGAGAUAAAGGAAUCAACAGUGAUUCUACAAUUUGGAGCCCGAAUAACUGAAAGAAUGAAGUUCUUGACUCAGAUGGGAAUUGAAGUUACGGAAGAAAACUGGUGGGUGUGAAAUAAAAUUUUGUUUUAGGCACGUUAAAUGUAAAAUGUCUAUUGAAUGUCUAAGUUUAGCUGUUGCAUAGGUAGCAGGCUAUGACAGAUAACUCACCAAUGAAACCUGUUUAUCAAACAAAGAUGAAUUAUUUUAAAAACCACUGUAGCAAGUGAGAAUAGCACUUAGAUAAGGUCUUAUUUCUUUCAAAAUGGGGUCAUUAAGAAGGGCAAUUACUGAGCCUAUAAGUCUAGACUUGAAUGGAUUAAAGUGGGUAUUUUGAGUGGUUGUGUUUGGGAACCCUCCAAAUUAAUACUUAUUUGUUUUCAGUCUUGACAUUUGAUCAAGUACUACAAAUCUUGGGAUAUUUUGGUUGCCACCACAUAUUGAUAUAGUGAGCUAUCAGUUUAAUAAUUUGCAGACUUUGUGAAAUAAAAUACUCAGUUAUUUGUUUAGUUUUGCUAAUUUCAAAAGUUUACAAACAUAUACUUUCAUUUUAAACAGCUUUAAUAAGGUUAUUACUGAUGUUUUUAAGAUAUAUAACUCGAUAUUUGAAAUACAUGUACAUUAUGAAAUAAUC
rnacentral:lncRNA from 1 species